GUACAUCUUUUGUGAAGCGGCAGCUGAGGAGACUCGCCAUGGCAGAUGAAAAGCCUAAUGAAGGAGUCAAGACUGAGAACAACGAUCACAUAAAUUUAAAGGUGGCGGGACAGGAUGGUUCUGUGGUGCAGUUUAAGAUUAAGAGGCAUACACCACUUAGUAAACUAAUGAAAGCCUAUUGUGAACGACAGGGUUUGUCAAUGAGGCAGAUCAGAUUCUGAUUUGAUGGGCAGCCAAUCAAUGAAACAGACACGCCUGCACAGUUGGAAAUGGAGGAUGAAGAUACAAUUGAUGUGUUCCAACAGCAGACAGGAGGUGUCUACUAAAAAGGGAACCUGCUACUUUACUCCAGAACUCUGUUAUUAUAGACCAAGAUGACAUUCUCAAUUAGAAAACUGCAAUUUGGUUCCACCACAUCCUGACUACUACAGUAUAGUUUUCUCUAUUCUUUUCAUUUUCCCCUUCCCUAUUCCUUUAUUGUACAUAAAGUAACUGGUGUAUGUGCA